AGGGUGAAGGGAAGCAACAGGGCAUUCUUAAGUGGUUUUUUUUGCUGAGAAACAAAGAAUGUCAUUUUCCUGUGACACAGAUUAGUCUUUGAAUCAGAGAUAGAUAAUGGAAAAGGGAUACAGUAACUGUGUCUUUCUUCCCCAUUUUAGGUUAUCAAGUUUGUUCCGGUUUAGAUAUCAAAAGUUAUGUCAGUUAUUAAGUAGAUUUCUAGUUCAUCAUUGAGGACAGUUUGUGAGGACAAAUUAUAUUCAGGGUAUGCCAAUUAUAUUGGCUGUCACUAUUUUUUAUGAAGCUAAGAGUGAGUGUUCAUUGAAUGUUAUAGGUUGGGGAGGAAGAGUCAAAAAUAUGUAACUAAGAUAUUUUUUAAAAACAGAGGGCAUAUUUUAAUUUUACCAAGAAACAUGAUUUAAUAUACAGAGGACUGAUCUUUUCCCAGAUUUUGCUUUUUGUUUUCAUUUUUUAAAGUGAGCACCAAGAUAUAUACUAGCAGAUUUUAUUUUUAAAAUAUGUGAAUUUGCUCAUUUAUGUUACAUCUUUUUUCUCUAAAGUCAUUUUGGCAAACAGACUAUUGAAAAUUCACAGUCUACAAAACUUGAGGAAGACUUUAAUCUUGCUACCAAGGAGGGAGCAACAAAGACAGUAACUGGACAACAAGAAAAUGAUAUUGGCAUUAUUGAACAAGCUCCACAAGAUCAAAAAAAUAAGAUGCCCACAUCAGAAUCACAAAGAAGAUAUAAAAUCACCUUCU